rnacentral:rRNA from 1 species
UACGGGGGGUGCAAGCGUUGUCCGGAAUUAUUGGGCGUAAAGCGCGCGCAGGCGGUCUCUUAAGUCUGAUGUGAAAGCCCCCGGCUCAACCGGGGAGGGUCAUUGGAAACUGGGAGACUUGAGUGCAGGAGAGGGAAGCGGAAUUCCAUGUGUAGCGGUGAAAUGCGUAGAGAUAUGGAGGAACACCAGCGGCGAAGGCGGCUUCCUGGCCUGUAACUGACGCUGAGGCGCGAAAGCGUGGGGAGCAAACAGG